rnacentral:rRNA from 1 species
UACGGAGGGUGCGAGCGUUGUCCGGAAUCACUGGGCGUAAAGGGCGCGUAGGCGGCGCGGGCAGUCAACGGUGAAAGCUCGGGGCUCAACCCCGAGUCGGCCGUCGAUACUCCCGUGCUCGAGCACUGUAGAGGCAGGUGGAAUUCCGGGUGUAGCGGUGGAAUGCGUAGAGAUCCGGAAGAACACCGGUGGCGAAGGCGGCCUGCUGGGCAGUAGCUUACGCUGAUGCGCGACAGCGUGGGGAGCAAACAGG